AUUUAUUUUUCUCAUCAUGAGCUGGGAACUAUCUGGCAGGGUAACAGAAGGUGUGAGUUGCCAUGCAGGUCUCCUCCCUGCGUGUCCGAGAAACGCUGAACCUGUGCUUCCCUGACAAAAAUUGUCGGGUGUUACAUAUUUUCUGUGGAUGUGACAAGAGCUCGUUGACACGCAUGUUCAUUUUAUUUACCAAAAUAAUUACCUGAAUUAUCUGAAAUUCAGUGGAUCCAGUGGAUGUGUUUCUUCACAAACUACAGCUUCUCAUUGUGCAGGCUGUCUGGAUUCACUUAUCCAAAGGAAAGAAAAAAAAAAUGGGGUGGAAUAACUGCUGUGGUGAUAAGACUGUUAAGCAGUGUAUGAUUCACGUUUUUCCUGUGUUGUUCAGUGAGCCAUUUGACAGCUGCUAGAUUUGACUAAUCAGGUGGGCUGUAAAAUGUGUUCAGCCUUUUGUCACAUGCUUGCCAUCAACAUUAGGAGUCCAGACUAAUUCAGAGAAUGUCUUCUGGGGAAAUAUUCAGUAUUUUUAACUUGAAUUAAUGUUGAGGUUUAUAUAUAGAUGUGAGAUUACUCUUGUCUGUGUAGGAAUUAAAAAUGGAUGCAUACUAAGAAUUUGGCAUUGCAUGAAGAACCGUCAACACAUACAUUGUUUGUUGCUGUUCAUUAAUGAAGUACAGAUUGGGAAGUCUCAUGAUCCAAAAGUGUAGAGAGCUCUGAUGGGGAUGGAGAAACCACUGCAAAAUACCUGCACAUUUCAGGUCUGAUUUUCAGAGGUACAGUAAGUGAGAAUGAUGCAGAAGAAGGCCCUCUGGGAUGUUUUGUUCAAACGUGUUACAAAAUGCCCCUCCCAGAUACUGCUCACCUAAUGGCCUCUUCCCCACAAUCUCCCACUGCAGAAACCCUGCAGCCUCUCCAGAGACAGACAGUCAACCAGCAAAUGCUCUGCCAACAUGGUGGUCUCCUGGAAUUUCUGGACUCUGCAUUUUCUCCUACUGUCCACUUUGUUCUAAUACAACAGUAUUUCUUGAGAGGUGACCUUGAUCCAACGUUCACAAGCAUUCAUCCUUCAGCAUUAAUCCCAUGGUAAUGACUUUUAUUCAUAAAAUCACAUUCAAGUGGAAAGGACUAGAAACAUGCUUGAAAACACAACAAAUUAUCCUUCUCUUUGAUACGCACUGCUAUGAUACAGCUGCUACAAAGAGCUUCAGACAAGCUGAAGAGUGGUGACUUCAGGGAUACUACAUCUGUUUUUCCCAGUGGCUUCUCUUAAUCAAAGAGCUUGUGUACUCCAACAGCUAUCAACGUAACUAUCUUUUAAUGUUGCAAAGAAGAGAUGUCUGGUUGGACAGUUCUUCAAAGCACAUAAAUUGCUUCUGAUACCUACAGAGCUAAGCAGAGGAGCAGCACAGCAUGCAUGGUCUAUAACAACUGAGUGAAUCCUCAGGAUUUCAUACACCAGCAUCCUCCUGCAACAUCCCUGGGAAUCAUAUUUUUUAAUAGUUUUAUUUUUGUCAUAGUAUAAUAUAAGUAAAACCCAUGCAAUUUCUUGGAUUUAAAUGGGAUUGUUUUGGUUGAAUCUCUAUUUAUUUUUUUAUUGUUUUGGAAAUGUGUCCAGCUGUACUGAGAAAAUACUGCUUUUAUAUUCUUUAAAUAUUAAAGUGUUCUUUUCUUAGCUAAUUAAAGUUAACCUUUCGUCACUGAUGAUGGUGACAGCGAAAGUUUAGCUUCUAAGGUACCUUUGAUGUCAUCAUUCCACAUGUGGUGCCAGUGACAGUGUCAGUAAAAUCCUUCAAUGGAAAGCUGAAGACAAAAUUCUCUUAGUUUUACUGAAGAAAAUAUUUGGAAAGUAAAAGAAAAAUAUCACCAUGAUUGUAAGCAGAACCAUCACUAAAAGGAUGCAGGCUUUUCCUUCCUUGCUUUUACUAUCUGCAAAGGAGCAUAAAGCCAAGAAUAGCUUGAGAAUUUCUGAGGAGAAAACAAGAAUGUUAUUGCGGAACUAAGUUCAUAGAGACUAUAAAAUAAAUGCUACCACUAGAUGGUAGCACAUACUAAUUUAUUGUACUGCAACAGAGUCUUUGUUAAAAAAAAAGAAAAGAAAGGAAAAGAAAACAAAAGAAAAGAAAAGAAAAGAAAAGAAAGCAAAAGAAAACAAAAGAAAAGAAAUCCUGCAUAAAGGGAACAGAUGGCAUAACUGCCCGACUGGAAACAAAUUCUGUUCUCUCUGGAGACAGUAACAUAAUUUCUCAUUUAGUAUAAUUAACUUAUUAGGUUCAAAAUUCUGUUUUUCAGGUCAAGUACCAGGCUUGCAUUAUAGUUCUAAUGUUUAAGAGUUGUCUUCUGAGGCACUAAGCUUUCACAGAAUCAUAGAAUCAUAGAAACCUUAGAGUUGGAAGGGACAUCUGAAAGCCAUCUAGUUCAACUCUCCCACAAUGAACAGGGACUAGAUCAGGUUGCCUCAGGCCUGAUCGAGCCUCACCCUGAAAGUCUCCAGGGAUGGGACAUCCACCACCCCUCUGGGCAACCUGUUACAGUGCCUCAUUACCCUCUCUGUGAAAGAUUUCUUCCAUAUAACUAACCUAUAUCUAGCCUCUUUGAGCUUGAAACCAUUUCCCCUUGUUCUAUUACUACAGACCCUGCUAAAGAGUCUGACCCCUCCUUUCCUGGAGCUCCCACUGAGGUUCUAAAAGCCUGCUGUCAGGUCACCUUGGAGCCUUCUCUUCUCCAGACUGAACAGUCCCAGCUCUCUGAGCCUGUCCUCAUAGCAGAGGUAUUCCACCCCUUGGAUUAUUUUUGUCCCCUUCUCUGGAUGCACUCCAACAGGUCCAUUCUCUCCUGUACUGGGAGACUCCACAUCUGGAUGCUGUACUCCAAGGGAGGCCUCAUCAGCGCACAGUAGAGAUGCAGGAUCACCUUCUUUGCCCUGCUGGUCGCACUUUUUUGAUUCGGCCCAGGAUACAGUAAGCUUUCUGAGCAACAAGGGUGCACUGCUAGCUCAGGUCCAGCUUCACAUCCAUCACUUCCCAUGCAGACCUUUUUUCAGCAGGGCUGCUCUCAAUCCUUCCAUCCCACAGCUGGUAGUGGUAUUGGACUUGGCUCUGUUCAGGAGCAAGAUAUUAUAGAAUCAUAGAAUGGGCUGGGUUGAAAGAGACUACAAUGAU